CCUACGGGUGGCAGCAGUGGGGAAUAUUGCACAAUGGGGGAAACCCUGAUGCAGCAACGCCGCGUGAGUGAAGAAGUAUUUCGGUAUGUAAAGCUCUAUCAGCAGGGAAGAGAAUGACGGUACCUGACUAAGAAGCCCCGGCUAACUACUUGCCAGCAGCCGCGGUAAUACGUAGGGGGCACGCGUUAUCCGGAUUUACUGGGUGGAAAGGGAGCGUAGACGGCUGGACAAGUCUGAAGUGAAAGCCCGUGGCUCAACCGCGGAACUGCUUUGGAAACUGUAAAGCUGGAGUACGGGAGAGGCAGGCGGAAUUCCUAGUGUAGCGGUGAAAUGCGUAGAUAUUAGGAGGAACACCAGUGGCGAAGGCGGCCUGCUGGACAGAAACUGACGCUGAGGAGCGAAAGCGUGGGUAGCAAACAGGAUUAGAUACCUGGGUAGUC
rnacentral:rRNA from 1 species